rnacentral:rRNA from 1 species
GAUGAAUGCUGGCGGCGUGCCUAAUACAUGCAAGUCGUGCGGCAGCGCGAGUAGUUUACUACUUGGCGGCGAGCGGCGGACGGCUGAGUAACGCGUGGGAAUGUGCCCCAAAGUGAGGGAUAAGCCCGAGAAAUCGGGUCUAAUACCGCAUAUGGUCUUCGGAUUAAAGCUUCGGCGCUUUGGGAGCGGCCCGCGUACGAUUAGAUUGUUGGUGAGGUAAUGGCUCACCAAGUCGACGAUCGUUAGCUGGUCUGAGAGGAUGAUCAGUCAGACUGGAACUGAGACACGGUCCAGACUCCUACGGGAGGCAGCAGUAAGGAAUCUUCCACAAUGGGGGCAACCCUGAUGGAGCAACGCCGCGUGCAGGAUGAAGGCCCUCGGGUCGUAAACUGCUUUUAUGAGUGAAGAAUAUGACGGUAACUCAUGAAUAAGCACCGGCUAACUACGUGCCAGCAGCCGCGGUCAUACGUAGGGUGCAAGCAUUAUCCGGAGUGACUGGGCGUAAAGAGUUGCGUAGGCGGUUAGUAAAGCGAAUAGUGAAACCUGGUGGCUCAAUCAUACAGACUAUUAUUCGAACUCACUAACUCGAGAGUGGUAGAGGUAACUGGAAUUUCUUGUGUAGGAGUGAAAUCCGUAGAUAUAAGAAGGAAUACCAAUGGCGUAGGCAGGUUGCUGGACCAUUUCUGACGCUAAGGCACGAAAGCGUGGGGAGCGAACGGGAUUAGAUACCCCGGUAGUCCACGCCGUAAACGAUGGAUACUAGCUGUUGGAGGUAUCGACCCCUUCAGUAGCGAAGCUAACGCGUUAAGUAUCCCGCCUGUGGAGUACGGCCGCAAGGCUAAAACAUAAAGGAAUUGACGGGGAUCAGCACAAGCGGUGGAUCGUGUUCUUUAAUUCGAUGAUAAACGAAGAACCUUACCAGGGCUUGACAUCCAGGGAAGCACUA